ensembl:lncRNA
ACCACUUCCAGCAUCAUCACCUCAAAGAUAUUCUCAAGCUGUUGCAGAGAAAUGGAAAAAAAUAAAAAAUAAAAUAAUAAUAAUAAUUCUUUGUUAUUGUGUAAACCAGAAUGUUCAGAAUUGACAUUGUACAAUUGUACCCUGUCUGGCAACAUUUUGAUCUCAUCUCUCCAAAUAAGGUAUGCACACAGUAAUAAAUAUCACAAAUGAUAAGUACCAUAAAAUAAAUGGUCAAAAUAAAUAAACCACACCCCAGAUCCUAUAAUCUGAUUUCUGUCUUUUAGUUUAUUGAAAGGUGAAGUGUUUGCUGUGCUCCAAAGAACUUUAAUACAGCAACAACACCUCAUCUAUGCUGAGGCCUUACAGAGCCCUGCGCGAAAACAAGGAGGCUAUCCAAGGUGGACCAAGCUCAGGGAGAGGAAUGAUGUGGAUGAGGCCUUGGUCAACAUGGUGAUUCCCAGCCCUUCACUAUUGUGGAGGACAGUGGGUUUAGAAAGCGUGUUAAAGCUUUGAACCCUAACUAUGUUCUCCCCACAAGUCAGGAUUUGAACGCUAUGGUGGUCCAAACAUACAAAGAUUCCAAACAAACAGAAAAACUGACUGUGGCAAAG